UUUGUUGUGUGAAGUGUGAAACCUACUGCCUUUUUACUUUAUUUCUGUCAUGUUUUUUUUUUUUAGAGUUAGAAAAAAGUCAUUAGGUGCCAUAACCCGUAAUUAAAUACGGAUUACCUUAUUAUUGCAAAAUCCUAAAAUUCAGGCCCACAGAGACUCGAGGUGUAAUUGUGAGGCGACACGUCAAUCACCCACGAGAGGUAACAGAUUGGCUUUGAUUAUGACGCGGUGAUGACAGACUGCUGAUUGACUCAUCUGCUUACAGUGCUGUCCAGAAAAGCCAGCCACACACUCUCUCACUCUGUUCUGUGAGCUCAAAGUGGGGUGCUAUAUAUUUCAAACAACUAUAGUAAUGAAUCCAGUUCCGGUUGCACAAGUUACAGUGCAGAGCAUGCUGAGCUAAGGUUAUAAGGAGCCUGCCACGACAUCUUUCGGUUAUGAGCAGUUCCCCACCGAACAGCGACCCAUCAGCGCUUACGACAGGAAUAUAUGUGGAAAAUAGAAGAAAACUAAUCGAAGGGGAGAGAGAACUUUGAAAACU